rnacentral:rRNA from 1 species
CCUCGUCCAAUGGACGUUACCCCGCAGAAGAAGCCCCGGCUUAAUUCCGUGCCCAGCAGCCGCGGUAAUACGGAGGGGGCAAGCGUUUAUCGGAAUUACUGGGCGUAAAGCGCACGCAGGCGGUCUGUCAAGUCGGAUGUGAAAUCCCCGGGCUCAACCUGGGAGGUGCAUUCGAAACUGGCAGCCUAGAGUCUAGUAGAGGAGGGUAGAAUUCCAGGUGUAGCGGUGAAAUGCGUAGAGAUGUGGAGGAACCCCGGUGGCGAAGGCGCCUCCCUGGACAAAGACUGACGCUCAGGUGCGAAAGCGUGGGGAGCAAACAGGAUUAGAUCCCCUGGUAGUCCACGCCGUAAACGAUGUGGACUAGGAGGUGGUGCCCUUGAGCCGUGGCUUCCGGAGCUAACGCGUUAAGUCGUCCGCCUGGGGAGUACGGCCGCAAGGUUAAAACUCAAAUGAAUUGACGGGGGCCCGCACAAGCGGUGGAGCAUGUGGUUUAAUUCGAUGCAACGCGAAGAACCUUACCUACUCUUGACAUCCAGAGAACUUCGCAGAGAUGCAUUGGUGCCUUCGGGAACUUUGAGACAGGUGGUGCAUGGCUGUUGUCAGCUCGUGUUGUGAAAUGUUGGGUUAAGUCCCGCAACGAGCGCAACCCUUAUCCUUUGUUGCCAGCGGUUCGGCCGGGCACUCAAAGGAGACUGCCAGUGAUAAACUGGAGGAAGGUGGGGAUGACGUCAAGUCAUCAUGGCCCUUACGAGUAGGGCUACACACGUGCUACAAUGGCGCAUACAAAGAGAAGCGACCUCGCGAGAGCAAGCGGACCUCAUAAAGUGCGUCGUAGUCCGGAUUGGAGUCUGCAACUCGACUCCAUGAAGUGGGAAUCGCUAGUAAUCGUGGAUCAGAAUGCCACGGUGAAUACGUUCCCGGGCCUGGUACACACCGCCCGUCACCCCAUGGGAGUGGGUUGCAAAAGAAGUAGGUAGCUUACCCUUUGGAGCCGCUCUCUUAGAGUGACGGCGAAAAUGUACUACC